AGUGAACGCUGGCGGUAGGCCUAACACAUGCAAGUCGAACGGCAGCACAGUAAGAGCUUGCUCUUACGGGUGGCGAGUGGCGGACGGGUGAGGAAUACAUCGGAAUCUACUUUUUCGUGGGGGAUAACGUAGGGAAACUUACGCUAAUACCGCAUACGACCUACGGGUGAAAGCAGGGGAUCUUCGGACCUUGCGCGAUUGAAUGAGCCGAUGUCGGAUUAGCUAGUUGGCGGGGUAAAGGCCCACCAAGGCGACGAUCCGUAGCUGGUCUGAGAGGAUGAUCAGCGACACUGGAACGGAGACACGGUCCAGACUCCUACGGGAGGCAGCAGUGGGGAAUAUUGGACAAUGGGAGCAAGCCUGAUCCAGCCAUACCGCGUGGGUGAAGAAGGCCUUCGGGUUGUAAAGCUCUUUUGUUGGGAAAGAAAAGCAGCAGGUUAAUACCCCGCUGUUCUGACGGUACCAAAAGAAUAAGCACCGGCUAACUUCGUG
rnacentral:rRNA from 1 species